rnacentral:rRNA from 1 species
GACCUCGUGUUAGGGUAGAGUACCCGCCAAAUUUAAGCAUAUUAAUAAGCGGAG